UACACAUGCAAGUCGAACGGCAGCAUGAUCUAGCUUGCUAGAUUGAUGGCGAGUGGCGAACGGGUGAGUAAUACAUCGGAACGUGCCCUGUAGUGGGGGAUAACUAGUCGAAAGAUUAGCUAAUACCGCAUACGACCUGAGGGUGAAAGUGGGGGACCGCAAGGCCUCAUGCUAUAGGAGCGGCCGAUGUCUGAUUAGCUAGUUGGUGAGGUAAAGGCUCACCAAGGCGACGAUCAGUAGCUGGUCUGAGAGGACGAUCAGCCACACUGGGACUGAGACACGGCCCAGACUCCUACGGGAGGCAGCAGUGGGGAAUGUUGGAACAACUCGGGCGAAAGCCUGAUCCAGCAAUUGCCGCGUGAUCUGAAGAAGACCUUCGGGUUGUAAAGCACUUUUGUCCGGAAAGAAAUGACUCUGCUUAAUACCUGGCGGUCGAUGACGGUACCGGAAGAAUAACUGACCGGCUAACUACGUGCCAGCAGCCGCGGUAAUACGUAGGGUCCAAGCGUUAAUCGGAAUUACUGGGCGUAAAGCGUGCGCAGGCGGUUGUGCAAGACCGAUGUGAAAUCCCCGAGCUUAACUUGGGAAUUGCAUUUGGUGACUGCACGGCUAGAGUGUGUCAGAGGGGGGUAGAAUUCCACGUGUAGCAGUGAAAUGCGUAGAGAUGUGGAGGAAUACCGAUGGCGAAGGCAGCCCCCUGGGAUAACACUGACGCUCAUGCACGAAAGCGUGGGGAGCAAACAGGAUUAGAUACCCUGGUAGUCCACGCCCUAAACGAUGUCAACUAGUUGUUGGGGAUUCAUUUCCUUAGUAACGUAGCUAACGCGUGAAGUUGACCGCCUGGGGGAGUACGGUCGCAAGAUUAAAACUCAAAGGAAAUUGACGGGGACCCGCACAAGCGGGUGGAUGAUGUGGGAUUAAUUCGAUGCAACGCGAAAAAACCUUUACCUACCCUUGACAUGCCACUAACGAAGCAGAGAUGCAUUAGGUGCUCGGAAAAGAAGAAAGUGCACACAGCUGUCUGCCAUGGCCUGUCGUUCAGCUCGUGUCCGUGGAGAUGUUGCGUUACAGUCCCGCAACGAGCGCAACCCUUGUCUCUAGUUGCUACGAAAGGGCACUCUAGAGAGACUGCCGGUGACAAACCGGAGGAAGGUGGGGAUGACGUCAAGUCCUCAUGGCCCUUAUGGGUAGGGCUUCACACGUCAUACAAUGGUGCAUACAGAGGGUUGCCAAGCCGCGAGGUGGAGCUAAUCCCAGAAAAUGCAUCGUAGUCCGGAUCGUAGUCUGCAACUCGACUACGUGAAGCUGGAAUCGCUAGUAAUCGCGGAUCAGCAUGCCGCGGUGAAUACGUUCCCGGGUCUUGUACACACCGCCCGUCACACCAUGGGAGUGGGCUUUACCAGAAGUAGUUAGCCUAACCGCAAGGAGGGCGAUUACCACGGUAGGGUUCAUGACUGUGGUGAAGUCG
rnacentral:rRNA from 1 species